GUCAAGUAAGAAUACCCGCUGAACUUAAGCAUAUCAAUAAGCGGAGGAAAAGAAACUAACUAGGAUUCCCUUAGUAACGGCGAGUGAACUGGGAAGAGCUCAAAUUUUAAAUCACUUUGGUGAAUUGUAAUUUGAAGAAAGUGUUUUGACUUUUCAGUUUAAUCUAAAUCCUUUGGGAUGAGGUAUCAUAGAGGGUGAGAAUCCCGUUCGUGAUUAAACCUCGGAUUGCACUAAUUCACUUUCUAAGAGUCGAGUUGUUUGGGAUUGCAGCUCUAAAUGGGUGGUAAAUUUCACCUAAGGCUAAAUAUAUGCAAGAGACCGAUAGCGAACAAGUACCGUGAGGGAAAGAUGAAAAGAACUUUGAAAAGAGAGUUAAACAGUACGUGAAAUUGUUGAAAGGGAAACGAUCGAAGUCAGUCAUGCUAGUGAGGAAUCAACUUGGUGGUUUACUUCCUUGUGUAUUUUCUUACUUGGCAGGUUAGCAUCAAUUUUGGUUGUCAUCAAAUAAUUGGGGGAAUGUGGCUUUUCUUCGGGAAAGUGUUAUAGACCUUGAUAGAUGUGGCGACUGAGAUUGAGGUUUGCAGCGGAUGCCUUUGGCUAGUCAUCUGUCUUCUGACCGUCACCUCGCUUUUGACAGCUUGCUGAUGAUUGCGGGAUUUGGUGGCCUAGAAGUUAGAAUGUACAUAAAUUCGCUAAGGAUGCUGACGUAAUGGCUUUAAACGACCCGUCUUGAAACACGGACCAAGGAGUCUAACAUAUGUGCGAGUGUU
rnacentral:rRNA from 1 species